CACUAAACUGGGACAUGUCAUCCUUUGGUGAAGCAGUACUACUAUUAAGCUUUUAAACAGAGACUGAAGGAAAAGGAAAAGGACACAUGGAAAAAAUUUCAAUAAGAGCUCUGCUUUGUGGUGUCUAAGAACUGGAAACUAAGACGCUUUCCACCUUCCGGGAUUUCCUGAACAAAUGAUGCUUUAUGAAUAUGAUGGAAUACUAGUGUGCUAGAAGAUGUGAUGAACGAGAUGGUGUCAGGGAAAUCUAGGACGACUUUGAGCUGUUGCAGUUGAGCAGAACUGGAACACUUUCUACAGUAACACUGUGAAGACAACUUGAAUAGGCUUGGGCAUCCUAAUGAAAACAAUGAGCAAAAAUGAUUCCAGAGAGAUCGUGAUGAAACAUGUGGCUUCCCUCCAGACAGAAAGGCAAUGGACUGAAGGAGUACACUGAGCUACAUUUUUAAACAUGUUCAAUGUGUGUGCACCUUGUUUACCAAAUUGGAUGCCUGUGCCUGGAAGAAGGACCAAUCUUAGUGAGGAUGACAUGUCCAAAACUGAACCUAUGACAGCUGGUGGCUCAGUUCACCAGUUCCCAUUAGAAAUGUACUGUAUGGGGAAAACAAAUGUUUUUCCCACCUACAAGUAA
rnacentral:lncRNA from 1 species